rnacentral:rRNA from 1 species
UGAGAUAACGUAAGGGAUAAUAAUGAUAUUACCUUACUAUUAGUGUCGUCCAAAACUGGUGCCAGAAGACUCGGUAAGGCCAGAGACGAAACGUUAGUCUUAUUAACCAGGCGUAAAGGGUAUGUAGGCAGCUUUCAAAAUUUUAUUUUAAUAUAGCCAUAGUAAAAUAAGACCAAUAAAAGCUAGAAUUCAAAUUGAGGUUAAGCCAAAUAAUACUUAGAGUAGGGGCGACAUCCGUAGAAACUAAGUAGAAUACUAAGAGCGUAAGCUUUUUAACCAUUACUGAUUGACGCUGAGAAACGAAGGUGAGGAUAGGAAGUAGGAUUAGAUACCC